GGAUUGGGAGGGUUCUACGGAACCCGUUUGGUGAAUCUAGUGCCGAGAAAAGCCUUCUAUGUGUUGAAUUUCUAGUACCCGUACCCUAAACCGACACAGGUGGGUGGGUAGAGCAUACCUAGGGGCGCGUGAUAACUCUCUCUAAGGAACUCGGCAAAAUGGCCCUGUAACUUCGGGAUAAGGGGUGCCUGCGUGAGCAGGCCGCAGUGAAAUGGCUCUGGCGACUGUUUACCAAAAACACAGGUCUCUGCUAAGUCGUAAGACGAUGUAUAGGGGCUGACUCCUGCCCAGUGCCGGAAGGUUAAGGAAGUUGGUUAGCGCAAGCGAAGCUGGCGACUGAAGCCCCGGUGAACGGCGGCCGUAACAAUAACGGUCCUAAGGUAGCGAAAUUCCUUGUCGGGUAAGUUCCGACCCGCACGAAAGGAGUAACGAUCAGAGCGCUGUCUCGGAGAGAGACACGGCGAAAUAGGAUUGUCCGUGAAGAUACGGACUACCUGCACCCGGACAGAAAGACCCUAUGAAGCUUUACUGUAACUUGGAGUUGUGUUCGGACUUUGUCUGCGCAGAAUAGGUGGGAGGCUAUGAAACGUUCCUCGCGGGGAACUGGAGCCAUCGUUGAGAUACCACUCUGGCAGAGUCUGGAUUCUAACCUACGGGGGCAGUUCCAGGUGGGCAGUUUGACUGGGGCGGUCGCCUCCUAAAAUGUAACGGAGGCGCGCAAAGGUUCCCUCAGGCUGGUUGGAAAUCAGCCAUAGAGUGUAAAAGCAUAAGGGAGCUUGACUGCGAGACCUACAAGUCGAGCAGGGACGAAAGUCGGCUUUAGUGAUCCGACGGCACUGAGUGGAAGGGCCGUCGCUCAACGGAUAAAAGUUACUCUAAGGAUAACAGGCUGAUCUCCCCCAAGAGUUCACAUCGACGGGGAGGUUUGGCACCUCGAUGUCGGCUCGUCGCAACCUGGGGCGGUAGUACGUCCCAAGGGUUGGGCUGUUCGCCCAUUAAAGCGGCACGUGAGCUGGGUUCAGAACGUCGUGAGACAGUUCGGUCCAUAUCCGGUGUAGGCGUAGGAGCAUUGAAAGGAUCUCUCCUUAGUACGAGAGGACCGGGAGGGACGUACCUCUGGUGUACCUGUUAUCGUGCCAACGGUAAACGCAGGGUAGCCAUGUACGGAGUGGAUAACCGCUGAAAGCAUCUAAGUGGGAAGCCCACCUUAAGAUGAGUGCUCCCUUGAGGCCACGGGAAGACGACCCGUUUGAUAGGCGCUAGGUGGAAGUGCAGUAAUGCAUGCAGCCGAGGCGUACUAAUAGGCCGAUGGC
rnacentral:rRNA from 1 species